rnacentral:rRNA from 1 species
AGCAGUAGCCGCGGGAAUACGUAGGUCCCGAGCGUUGUCCGGAUUUAUUGGGCGUAAAGCGAGCGCAGGCGGUUUGAUAAGUCUGAAGUUAAAGGCUGUGGCUCAACCAUAGUUCGCUUUGGAAACUGUCAAACUUGAGUGCAGAAGGGGAGAGUGGAAUUCCAUGUGUAGCGGUGAAAUGCGUAGAGAUGUGGAGGAACACCAGUGGCGAAGGCGACUCUCUGGUCUGUAACUGACGCUGAGGAGCGAAAGCGUGGGGAGCGAACAGGAUUAGAUACCCCUGUAGUCCCUGUCUCUUAUACU